AAGAGGUCUCUGCAGUUGAUGGAGCCUACUUUGCAAAAGAUUUUGGUAGAAAAAUUCUCCAGCAUAUAAAGGAAGGAUCUCUUUGUCCCUAGAGAGUGGAAUUCUACUUCAACCAGCUUCCCUCCAUCGCUCUGAAGCUGAGCUCAAAAGGGGCAGAAGAAAGGUUGGCAGCACUUUCCGUUCCUUCUCCUCCUGAAGGACAUCGGCACCCACUGCUGGCAGCGGUGGAUGCACCCUGCUCCAGGCCAGCCUGCUAUGGAAACAUCUCUAUCAAACCACUGGUCACCAGAUGUCACGGCUUCCUUACAGAAAGAGUGCUCUGUUUUUAA
rnacentral:lncRNA from 1 species